GGGCGGCAGCUGCACAGAGCGAGGGGGAGCGGCGCGGCCGCCAGCAGUGCGGCCUCCGGGCGCCGCCGCCCACCCCGGGGAGCCUCGGGGACCUCGCCCUGGGAAGCUAUCUUGGGUGACCCCGACCUCCCAGCACGCGGGACGGCCCCGCGACCGGACUCACCCAGAGGCCGCAGGACUGGCUCAGUGAUUAAGAGCAUUGGCUGCUUUUCUAAGAGGACCCGGGUUCAAUUCCCAGCACCCAUAUGGCGGUUCACAACUCUCUGAAACUCCAGUUCCGGAGGAUCUGACACCUGCACAUUUACGUAGGCAAAACACCAACACAAUUGGUGAAACCAAGCACAUCAAAGCUUUUCUGGAUGCCAUCGAAGGUGUUGCCGAAAGGCGGCCUAUGGUUGAGAUAAACUUUGAGGAAAUCCGAAUUUUGCGGCUUAGAUACAGGUGUCUGGUUGGAGGAGGAGAGGAGGCGUGACGGCUUCCCCCUAAUGUGCGAAGGAGAACUGCUGGAUUCUGGCAGCCCCAGCUCUUGGGAAACAGCAUUACUGGUUCCGAGGAAGUGUAACUGAAGCUGUGUACACGCUGUGUGUGAGGACAGGGUUUCAUAAUUAGAAUCUUCACAGUUAACGUUUACAUUUGACACAACGUUAGAUUACACGUGAAUUGUGUGAAUAUUAAAAACUGUUAGAUUAACUGAUGUGCUAUGUUAGUAUGUUAGUAUAUUAACUAACAUGUUACGUAUGUAAUUUUAAUACUCCGAGGCAUGCUAUGUAUGUGCACUAUGUAUGUGCUUGGUGUCUGAGGGGACCAGAAAGGGGUGUUAGAUCCCCUAGAACUAUAGUUACUAAUGGUUGUGACCCGCCAUGUGGGUGCUGGGAGCUGAGCCUGAGUCUUUUUUACUGUAAGCUCCUAACCUCUGAGCCAUGUCCCCAGACCAGUUUUAAAAACUGUAGUCAUACUGGGGCAGGAGAGAUGACUCAUGGCUGAGAGCACUGGGGCUGGAGAGAGGACUCAUGGCUGAGAGCACUGGGGCUGGAGAGAGGACUCAUGGCUGAGAGCACUGGGGCUGGAGAGAGGACUCAUGGCUGAGAGCACUGGGGCUGGAGAGAGGACUCAUGGCUGAGAGCACUGGGGCUGGAGAGAGGACUCAUGGCUGAGAGCACUGGGGCUGGAGAGAGGACUCAUGGCUGAGAGCACUGGGGCUGGAGAGAGGACUCAUGGCUGAGAGCACUGGGGCUGGAGAGAGGACUCAUGGCUGAGAGCACUGGGGCUGGAGAGAGGACUCAUGGCUGAGAGCACUGGGGCUGGAGAGAGGACUCAUGGCUGAGAGCACUGGGGCUGGAGAGAGGACUCAUGGCUGAGAGCACUGGUUUCUUUUGCAGAGGAUGCAGGUUUGAUUCCAACCACCCACAUGGCGGCUCGCAGCUGUAAUUCCAGCUCCAGGGGAUCUGAUACCCUUUUCCCGGCCUCCGUGGAUACCAGACACACAGGACGCCUACAAACACACAUGCGUGUAAGACACACAUACAUACACACACUUUAAAAAUGUCAACAUGUGGGGUUGGGGAUUUAGCUCAGUGGUAGAGCGCUUGCCUAGCAAGUGCAGGGCCCUGGGUUCAGUCCCCAGCUCCAGAAAAAAAAAAAAAAAAUGUCGGGCUGGAGAGAUGGCUCAGUGGCUAAGAGCACGGACUGCUCUUCCAGAGGUCCUGAGUUCAAAUUCCAGCAACCACAUGGUGGCUCACAACCAUCUAUGAUGAUGUCUGAUGCCCUCUUCUGGUGUCUGAAGACAGCUACAACAUACUUACAUAUAAUAAAUAAAUAAAUCUUUAAAAAAAAUGUCAACAUGUAAAAAUUUGGUAAGUUUAAUGGUUAAGACGCGCACACACCACGCCUUACUUAGUAACGAGUAAAGUGGCCAUUUCGGAUGACAGACAGAUCUUCAAAUUCUCUGUGUAGCCCUGGAUAUACUGGAACUCGCUCUGCUGGCCCCAAAACUCAAGAGAUCCGCCUGCCUCUGCCUUCCGUGCUGGGGUUAGAGGUAUGCACCAACACCCAUCCAGCCUGUCUUCAAGUUCUAACGCCGCCAUUUUCUGUGCAUGGGACCUCUGGUGCACUGUUUAACAUACCGUAUGUUGAACUUUCUUGAGAGAGGGACACGCAGGGUAAACGCAUGCGCACUGGAGCCGUUUUUGCUCUGCUUAGUCUGGCUUUGAUUUUCGUGAAUUGUUUGAGACAGAGCUCGUGUAGCGCGUGCUGGCCUCAAGCUUGCGAUGGCGCAGAGGAUGUCCUAGAACUUCUGAUCUCACUGACAUGUGCUGCUAUGCCUGGUUCAUGUGGUGCUGGGGAUCGAACCCAUGGCCUUCCUGCAUGCUAGGUGAGCACUCUCAGCUCCAUCCUCAGCCUGCACUAGGCUGUUCUGACUCACACGAGUAGUAGUGCCUGCCCAGGGUAGGGAUGGGACCGACGGUAAUUAGGCUGAGAUUAUUUUUUCCCUCUGUGCUUUCUAAUUACAAUUCGUGUAAUUACAAAAUAAAUUAUAAUUCUAUGCUAAUGAUAUAUGAUCAACUUUAUAAGUGUAUAAAUUAUAAUACAUAUACACUACUGACGGAAUGUA